rnacentral:rRNA from 1 species
GAUGAACGCUGGCGGCGUGCCUAAUACAUGCAAGUCGAGCGAACAGACGAGGAGCUUGCUCCUCUGACGUUAGCGGCGGACGGGUGAGUAACACGUGGAUAACCUACCUAUAAGACUGGGAUAACUUCGGGAAACCGGAGCUAAUACCGGAUAAUAUAUUGAACCGCAUGGUUCAAUAGUGAAAGACGGUUUUGCUGUCACUUAUAGAUGGAUCCGCGCCGCAUUAGCUAGUUGGUAAGGUAACGGCUUACCAAGGCGACGAUGCGUAGCCGACCUGAGAGGGUGAUCGGCCACACGGGAACUGAGACACGGUCCAGACUCCUACGGGAGGCAGCAGUAGGGAAUCUUCCGCAAUGGGCGAAAGCCUGACGGAGCAACGCCGCGUGAGUGAUGAAGGUCUUCGGAUCGUAAAACUCUGUUAUUAGGGAAGACCAAAUGUGUAAGUAACUAUGCACGUCUUGACGGUACCUAAUCAGAAAGCCACCGCUAACUACGUG